rnacentral:lncRNA from 1 species
CUUCAUCCAUAGAUCCGAAAGUAAAUUUCUUCUUUGUUCCUACAGCUUGCUUGAUCUUAUAUAACUGGGUCACGUAUCCAUUUGGAGUUUAUAUGCUGUGAAGAUAUUGGUCAAAACCUAAUUUCAACCAGACUACAUUCCAAUUUUCUAACAACUUAUUAUCAAAUGAUUAUUUUAUGAAUAUCAUUGGAGUUACUGAGCAUCUAGAUCAAAUAAAUAAAUGUCUUGGGCCAGAACUAGAAGUGGUAUGAAGCCUCUGCCAUUCUCAACCAUUACCAGUCACUGAAUCCUGGAGUCCAAACACAGAAAUCCAGUGAUUUCCAGACCAGAGCUUCGUUAGAGGAGAAAAUACUCUAUUGUGAAUAUUCAGUUUUUUGGAGCAAAAAGAAGAAAUUCUACUUUUCAUUCAACAGAGAAAGCUGAAAGAAAGAUAUUCUUUAUCUUCUCAUUCCUUCUCAUUCAAGAUUAUCUUGCAUUUGCUUUGCAUGAUUCUGAAUAUACUUAUCUAAGUGCCUGAUGUCCAUCCUGGUUGAAUGUAAGUUUCUUGAAAGCAAAAUUGCUUUAUUUUGGUACC